UUACAUCACUUAUUUUUUGAAUUAUUGAUAGCUGUUUAUCAAGUUUUAUACUCAGUAUGCAAAAUAUGAUAAGAUAUUAGUUCUAAAUGUGUAUUACUGAUAAAGAAAAUUUGAGUCAUGAAUACAAAUCACGAGCUGUCGAUUUGAAGUUCUAGUCUUUUAGAAUUUUAGGUAGAAUAACAUAUUUCGACGGCAGCAAACUCGGGGAUAUCCACCUGGCAUAUCUUCCAUAUAGAAUUAAAAAUAAGAAGAACUCUGGUCUUUUGAUGUGAAUUCCGCUAUUAUCUAAAUACUUUUAGUAGAUUAUUAACCACGGUCAGUUCAAUUCUUGAGGUCGAGUGUGAGGAAUUAUAGCAAUUACGAAUUAAGUACACUUAGGCGUUACUUAUGACAAAAAAAGAAAGUGGGGAGUUAUGACAGAAGACAGUCCAAGAAUAACCAAGACUUCUGAAACUGUCAAGUUUGCUACAGCAAGCAUCAGAAUUGUUACUGUCAAAAUUUUUUAAAAAAUUUGCUAGACAAAAUUUACGAACUAAGAGCAUUUUAUUCUUUUACAAUUUCGAAAUAGGCUUAUAAUAGGACGGAAAUGGAAAAUUAAGUAAAGGUAAAAAUUUGUAAAAAAAAGCUGAUUUCAAAACCAUACAUUAUUUACUAUCCGUAGCAAAAAAACGGCAUCAUUAAUAGAAAACAAGUGCAUUGAGUAUUAUUUAAAAAGAAAGAAUAAGAAAAGGAUAUAGAGACAAUU